CACGGUUCAGUCGAUCAUGUCAGAUGUUUGGAGGUUGUCAUUUUUUCCUAUUUGCAAUUUGUCUCUACUAUGCCCUGGGCAACAGAAAAAUUUCUGUACCGAAAUAGUCUUUACAAAUAUUUGUUUAGGUUCCCAGAUCUGACUUUUAUGUUUAUCUUCAUUCUCUUUGUUCUUAACUUUGACCUGUGAUUGGAAUACAUUUUCUAAUGUAAUGCUAUCUUUGUAAAUAACCUUUAUAAAUAAACAUUAUCUUAUUACCAGCUCAA
ensembl:lncRNA novel transcript, sense intronic to LRCH1